UGAUGGGUUGUUGCUGGCUCUCUAGGGAGCAUGUGCACGCCUUGUCAUCUUUAUAUCUCCACCUGUGCACCUUUUGUAGACCUUCCAGGUCUAUGUUGCUUCAUUUACCCCAAUGUAUGUUAAUAGAAUGUUGUGCCUAUAAAAUAUAUACAACUUUCAGCAACGGAUCUCUUGGCUCUCGCAUCGAUGAAGAACGCAGCGAAAUGCGAUAAGUAAUGUGAAUUGCAGAAUUCAGUGAAUCAUCGAAUCUUUGAACGCACCUUGCGCUCCUUGGUAUUCCGAGGAGCAUGCCUGUUUGAGUGUCAUUAAUAUAUCAACCUUCUCUUGUUGAGUGGUUUGGAUGUGGGGGUUUGCUGGCCUUGUAAAGGGUUUCACCUCCCCUGAAAUGCAUUAGCAGAACAACCUGUUCAUUGGUGUGAUAACUAUCUACGCUAUUGAAUGUGAAGGGCCGUUCAGCUUUCUAACAGUCCUUGAUUGGACAAUUUAUCAUUAAUGUGACCUCAAAUCAGGUAGGACUACCCGCUGAACUUAAGCAUAUCAAUAAGCGGAGGAAAAGAAACUAACAAGGAUUCCCCUAGUAACUGCGAGUGAAGCGGGAAAAGCUCAAAUUUAAAAUCUGGCGGUCAUUUGGCUGUCCGAGUUGUAAUCU
rnacentral:rRNA from 1 species